AGACCCGAAACCCGGUGAUCUAGCCAUGGGCAGGUUGAAGGUUGGGUAACACUAACUGGAGGACCGAACCGACUAAUGUUGAAAAAUUAGCGGAUGACCUGUGGCUGGGGGUGAAAGGCCAAUCAAACCGGGAGAUAGCUGGUUCUCCCCGAAAGCUAUUUAGGUAGCGCCUCGUGAAUUCAUCUCCGGGGGUAGAGCACUGUUUCGGCUAGGGGGCCAUCCCGGCUUACCAACCCGAUGCAAACUGCGAAUACCGGAGAAUGUUAUCACGGGAGACACACGGCGGGUGCUAACGUCCGUCGUGAAGAGGGAAACAACCCAGACCGCCAGCUAAGGUCCCAAAGUCAUGGUUAAGUGGGAAACGAUGUGGGAAGGCCCAGACAGCCAGGAUGUUGGCUUAGAAGCAGCCAUCAUUUAAAGAAAGCGUAAUAGCUCACUGGUCGAGUCGGCCUGCGCGGAAGAUGUAACGGGGCUAAACCAUGCACCGAAGCUGCGGCAGCGACGCUUAUGCGUUGUUGGGUAGGGGAGCGUUCUGUAAGCCUGUGAAGGUGGCCUGUGAGGGUUGCUGGAGGUAUCAGAAGUGCGAAUGCUGA
rnacentral:rRNA from 1 species